rnacentral:rRNA from 1 species
GACGUAGGUGGCGAACGUUAUCCGGAAUCAUUGGGCGUAAAGGGUGCGUAGAUGGCAUAAUAAGUUAUUAGUGGGAAAUCGAGGCUCAACCUCGUGGAAGCUAGUAAUACUGUUUUGCUUGAGUGCAGAAGAGGUUAACGGAACUCCAUGUGGAGCGGUAAAAUGCGUUGAUAUAUGGAAGAACACCGAUAAGGCGAAGGCAGUUAACUAUUCUGCUACUGACAUUGAGGCAUGAAAGCGUGGGGAGCAAAACGG